rnacentral:rRNA from 1 species
CCUACGGGAGGCAGCAGUGAGGAAUAUUGGUCAAUGGGCGCGAGCCUGAACCAGCCAAGUCGCGUGAAGGAAGACGGCCCUACGGGUUGUAAACUUCUUUUAUAAAGGAAUAAAGUCAGUCACGGGUGCCUUUUCGUAUUUACCUUAUGAAUAAGCAUCGGCUAACUCCGUGCCAGCAGCCGGGGUAAUACGGGGGUUCCGAGCGUUUUCCGGAUUUAUUGGGUUUAAAGGGUGUGUAGAUGGGUUGUUAAGUCAGUUGUGAAAAUUUGCGGCUCAACCGUAGAAUAGCAAUUGAUACUGGCAGCCUUGAGUGCGGGAGAGGUAGGCGGAAUUCGUGGUGUAGCGGUGAAAUGCUUAGAUAUCACGAAGAACUCCGAUUGCGAAGGCAGCAUACUGGCCUGCAACUGACGCUGAGGCACGAAAGUGUGGGUAUCGAACAGGAUUAGAUACCCUUGUAGUC